rnacentral:lncRNA from 1 species
GCAGACGCAAAAAAGCCUGGCCGGUCCCGCUGCACCCGCCGGUGCAGGCGUGCACCCACCCGUGCAGCCCAGGAGCAACAGGUAAUCUCCCCCGGCCUCACUUCUCUCCCCCUCGCUGCUUUGCUAGGGUUUGGGGCCUCCUCCGCGCGCUCGGGUCGUCCUCGCCGCGCUGUCCUCCGCCGGUCACCCUCCUCCGCCCGUCGCACCCUCCUCCCCUCGUCGCCCUCCUCCGCCGCUCGCCAUCCUCCGUCGCAUCCUCCUCCGCCGCUCUCAAUCCUCCGCCCCGCCCUCCUCUGGUCGUCGCCCUCCUCCGCCGCUCGGCAUCCUCCGCCUCCCCCUUCUCCGGACGUCGCCCUCCUCCGCCCGUCGACCUCCGUCUGUCCCGCUGGUCGCCCUCCGUCUGUUGAAAUCCUUUGCAGGCAAGUAUUGGUGAGAUAUAAACAUAAGUUCGCCUGUUUAUUCUGUUGGAAAAUGCUAAUCCAACACUAAAAAUUCAUUUGAUUACAUUGUCCAAAUUUAACUCCAACAAUGUAGGUCUGUUUGACGGGUUCAGUACCAAAAGUAUGGUAUCAUUUUUUUAGUUUGACAGUUGACGACUAGAAUUUAAUAUAAACUGUUGAUUGGUUAGAAAAGAUGACAGGUUUCCACAUUCCGGGGUGUGGAAGUCAAGAAAAAUUUAAAUCAAAACGCAUUGCCAAACAAAUAUCUGAAUUUGCAACUGAAAAAUUUCAGCACACUGCAUAAUUAUGUAAAUCACUUGUUGAUUGUGUUUGUUAUUUGUUGAUUUGUCAGGAUUAGCUUGAACUGAAGAACAAAAGAAAAAAGUCUCCAGGACAGGAAUUGCCUGCUAGUAGCUGCUUACAAUCAGGCUAAUGUCAGUGGCAUCAAAGCUGCUGCUGCUGCCGCUGUAACUUAUUUGCGUUUCCUGCCGAUGAGAAGACGACGAUUUGGUUUUGCUUGGUGGCCACUAUAUAUAUAAUCUCAGGUUCUGAACUCUGAAGACUCUGAACCUUGAUGAUUAUAAUUAUUGUAAGAAGAGAAGAAGCGAGUAGUUUGUAACUGUAUAUGCAUGACUCAUACUCUCAGCUCUCCAAUUCUUCUGAUUGUGUGGUAUAUAUACAAACAUAGAUGGAAACAUGGAGUUAUGAUGUUAUGACUGUAAAUUUUUCAUCUUUUGCUAUGUACAGAAACAUGGAGUAUAGGAUAGGCUGAAGCUGUAAAUUUGAAAGUGGGGAGAGGGAACAUGAAAGAAUUACUUGAUGAGUUUUGUAACAAUAUAUAGUUAAUACAAUUUCUGAAAGUAUAGCCUUGCUCAUAUUAUUGCUG